rnacentral:rRNA from 1 species
GACGAACGCUGGCGGCGCGCCUAACACAUGCAAGUCGAACGAGCGAGAGAGAGCUUGCUUUCUCAAGCGAGUGGCGAACGGGUGAGUAACGCGUGAGGAACCUGCCUCAAAGAGGGGGACAACAGUUGGAAACGACUGCUAAUACCGCAUAAGCCCACGACCCGGCAUCGGGUAGAGGGAAAAGGAGCAAUCCGCUAUGAGAUGGCCUCGCGUCCGAUUAGCUAGUUGGUGAGGUAACGGCCCACCAAGGCGACGAUCGGUAGCCGGACUGAGAGGUUGAACAGCCACAUUGGGACUGAGACACGGCCCAGACUCCUGCGGGAGGCAGCAGUGGGGAAUAUUGCACAAUGGGGGAAACCCUGAUGCAGCGACGCCGCGUGGAGGAAGAAGGUCUUCGGAUUGUAAACUCCUGUUGUUGAGGAAGAUAAUGACGGUACUCAACAAGGAAGUGACGGCUAACUACGUG